rnacentral:rRNA from 1 species
UAAUACGUAGGAUGCAAGCGUUGCUCGGAAUCACUGGGCGUAAAGAGCGCGUAGGUGGUUUGGUAAGUCAGAAGUGAAAGCCCUCGGCUUAACCGGGGAACUGCUUUUGAAACUGCCAUGCUAGAGUACGGGAGAGGGAGGUAGAAUUCCUGGUGUAGCGGUGAAAUGCGUAGAUAUCAGGAAGAAUACCGGCGGCGAAGGCGGCCUCCUGGCCCGAUACUGACACUGAGGCGCGAAAGCGUGGGGAGCGAACAGGAUUAGAUACCCUGGUAGUCCACGCCCUAAACGAUGAGUACUAGGUGUGGGGGAUGUGAUGUCCUCCGUGCCGAAGCUAACGCAUUAAGUACUCCGCCUGGGAAGUACGGCCGCAAGGUUG